UGAAUUACGUAUUCAUUUAUACGUAUACUUAAUUUCAAAGCUCAAAGUUGGAAAUUAUUUUUUACAUUAGAUUCACUCGAACCUUCUUAAGCUACUAUUGAUAAAUAGUUAUAUCAUCUUUAUUUUAAUAAAUAUAUUUCUGUUAUCCUGUUAAACAAAAAAUUAUUCGACUGAAAGGUUGUUACGAACAAUGUCUCAGAUGGCAUCGCUGGUAGAGUCCUUGGUGCGUAACCAAAAGAUCCGGGUUCGAUUCCCGACUGGGGCUGUCCGAAUUAUUUUUUCUAUCGGUUAUAAACAACGACAAUUCCGGUGCAGCUGGAAGGCUGCAAGCCCUUGGAUUUGUUAUUUAGUAAAUAUCGUUUUUAUUAUAUUGUUGAUUUAUUUGUGCGUAAUCUUAACCAUAAACUAUGAAAGAUUUUGAAUUAGUCUUAAUAAAACCUGCAAUGAUAAUUUA